CUUCCUGGAUCCAUGGCCACGAGGACUCCACUCUCCUGGGUCACACACAAUCUGCUUGUGGCUCAUUAAACCAACAGACCAUCCUGACCACAGCUCCAGUACACGAGAAACAGACCUGCAUAAGUUUGAUCUCUUUGAUCUCAAGCAAUCUACAGUCACAUGGGUUAAAAAAAAGAUAGGAAACUGCCCCACAACAAAACCUUGAAAAAUACUGUAGAAUUGGUGGAGUUUCAAAAGCAGGAUGAAAGGAAAGAGGUCAUUAAUUAAUAAGCAAAGGAAAAAAAAUCCAGAACAGAAGGAUUACAGAACAAAGAAAGACAUGGCUCCUUCCAGCAGGCACAGUCUUGAGAGCUCUGUUCCCCAGCGCAUUCCACAAAGCCAGAAGGCUCUCAGUACAUCACUCAAUUGAAUGAAUGUUUCUAGGAAAGACAUCAUAUAAAGACUGAACCUAUUGUUUCCACUCCCACGAUUGUAAAACUGAACUGAGAUGGAAUGAUGUCCCUAGAGGACGUGGAUACCUGGAGCUUACCUCUACAAAAGCAUCUACAAAUGAACUGUAUUUACAUUUCUGUGGCUUUUUCUUUGGUUUCUAGACCCUCUGUGAUGAUGGCAUUGGAGGGUGUGGCUUUGCACAUCAAAGAAUGCAGCAUUCUCACUCAGUGUGCCCUUGAGAAGCAGCUCUCUGCCCCUUUCAGCUCCAAAUGUCUGGGAGAGGAGGCUUGCUAGCUGCUGAGAGUCCCAAAACUUCUUGCUAGCUGUGCACAGCUUGCACACAGACCCUCUCAAUCAGACCUGGCCUCACAGCUCUGCACCAUGCACAAUGAGACCAAGGCAAACACAGUCUUGGUAAAAAGAAGUCCAGUGCAAUGUAACCACCAAGGAUGAAUCCCAAGCUAGACUGCAGCUUUCUUCAUGUGCAAAGUUCACACCUAGACCCCAACAGUAUCCUCUCUAGUGUUGUCAGUACAGUAACCAUUAGUCACAUGUACCUACUGAGCACCUGAAGUGUGACUAAUCUGGUUUGACAUGUGUUAAGUGUAAAAUACACACUGGAAUUUUGAAGACUUCACAUGAGACAAGAAUGUAAAAUAUCUGGAUUGUUUUUUAUAUGGAUUAUAUGCUGACAUGACAAUAGUUUGUAUAG